rnacentral:tRNA from 1 species
GCAUUGGUGGUUCAGUUGUAAAAUUCUUGCUCCCAUGCAGGAGACCUGGGUUCGAUUCCCAGACAAUGCA